GUCUCUUCGGGGAUGAUUAAACCGGCGCACGGGUGAGUAACACGUGAGUGACCUGCCUUUUAGACUGGAACAACUUACCGAAAGGUGAGCUAAUGCCGGAUGAGUUAUAUAAGUGCAUGUUUAUAUAGGAAAAGUUGGGGAGACCUGACGCUGAAAGAUGGACUCGCGUCCCAUUAGCUAGUUGGUAGGGUAAUGGCCUACCAAGGCGACGAUGGGUAGCCGGCCUGAGAGGGUGGCCGGCCACACUGGGACUGAGACACGGCCCAGACUCCUACGGGAGGCAGCAGUGGGGAAUUUUGCGCAAUGCUCGUAAGAGUGACGCAGCGACGCCGCGUGAAUGACGAAGGCCUUCGGGUCGUAAAGUUCUUUCGACAGGGAAGAAAAUGCCUAUAAGUAACUGUGUAUGUAUUGACGGUGCCUGUAUAAGCAGCCCCGGCUAACUCCGUGCCAGCAGCCGCGGUAAUACGGAGGGGGCGAGCGUUGUUCGGGGUGACUGGGCGUAAAGAGCACGUAGGCGGUGUUGUAAGUCAUUAGUCAAAGACUAGAGCUCAACUUUAGUAAGGCUAGUGAUACUAUAAUACUAGAGUAUCAGAGAGGAUUGCAGAAUUCCUGGUGUAGCGGUGAAAUGCGUAGAUAUCAGGAGGAAUACCGUUAGCGAAGGCGGCAAUCUGGCUGGAAACUGACGCUGAGGUGCGAAAGCGUGGGU
rnacentral:rRNA from 1 species